CAAUUGAAACGUUACCCAUAAUUUUGGGAGUUGUGGGAGGCUUGUUUCUGGCGUUGGCUAUUUGCCUCAUUGUAAUGAGAAAAAGAGUUAGAUCUGCCGUUUUUGGGAGGCCAGUUACUAUAGUUACACACAACGAAGAAAGGCAUGAAUAUUCUCCCGAAUCGGGGUUACUCAUACGUGAGUAGAAACAUUUCAUCAUGAGCUUAGAGGCGUUGGCAGAAGCCACACAAAAUUUUCAUGAAAAUAACAAGCUUGGAGAGGGAGGCUUUGGAAGUGUAUACAGGGGAACAAUUAGGGACGGAAAUGAAAUAGCAGUUAAAAAACUGUCAGCAAGAUCUACACAAGGCAGCAAAGAAUGAAUGAAUGAAGUGAAGCUGAUGUCGAAUGUUCAGCACAGAAACCUUGUGAAGCUAUUGGGAUGCUGCGCGGAGGGAAAUGAAAGAUUGCUUGUUUAUGAAUAUUUUCCCAACAAAAGCUUGGACAAUUUUCUCUUUAGUAAGUUAAAUUUCUAUCGUUAUUCCCUAUGAUUAAUUUUGCAGAGUUAUUUGAAAGAUAUUAGAUGAGUGAUAGAAUAAAAUUGAGGUUACAGAUCCAGAAAAGCGUAGACAGCUAGAUUGGCCUAGACGUUAUAACAUCAUCAUUGGAAUUGCCCGAGGCCUUCUGUACCUUCAUGAAGAUUCGCAGCUGAGAAUCAUUCACAGAGAUAUUAAAGUAAACAACAUUUUGCUGGAUGACAAACUCAAUCCUAAAAUAGCUGACUUCGGUUUAGCCAGACUUUUCCCUGAAAACGAGACACAAAUCGAAACGAGAGUUGCAGG